AUGACCACGACCGUACUAACUGAUGAUUUGGUGGUGGAGAUCUUGUCUCGUUUACCGCUGAAGUCUUUUUGCCGUUUCAAAUGUGUCUCCAAGUCUUGGCUUGCCUUCUCAUCUGAUCUGCACUACCGCCAGAAGCUCCCCAGAACUCCCGUCGGUCUCCUGUACCAAAAAAGAGAGCAUGACACUGGCAUCCAUCUUGCGGGACUUACCUCAAGUGACAGGGAUAUUGACUCAACACUUAGCUUUGUGCAAUGUUAUGAGCAUCCCUUAGAGCUUAAGGAUUGCAGCAAUGGCCUACUUCUUUGUUAUCAUGGUGGUAUGCCCUCGAAAGAAGUUUCUGAUGCCAUCGUGUGCAAUCCAGCAACUCAAGAGUGGAUGGCACUUCCAGAUACUGAACCUGGACCAGCCGUCUGUUAUGCCAGUUACAAGUUGUGUUUUGAUCCAUUGUGGUCUCAAUACUUCUACGUCUUCAAAUUUGAGUCAAGUCCAAGUGGUAGAUAUGACACUGAAGUUAAGGUAUUUUUCUCUGAGCAUUUGACAUGGUCUAAUUGUCUAUGGGAAACUUCAGAUAUAUUUUUUGGCGAUUCACUCUUCGUAAAUGGGGUGUUGUAUGUGGAGCACUUAUGGAGGCAUUACCUUCUGGCACUCGAUGCAUCUGACACAUGCGCACAGCAGCUCAAUCAUAGGACCAUUCAGUUGCCAGGGUUUCCAUAUGGACCAGAUCAGAGGUUUUAUUGCUUUGACGGGCGUCUUUGGCAGUCAUCUGGGGUCCUAUGCUAUGCACAACAAGAAUUAGAUGGUUGUUUCAUCCGAAUUUGGAGUUUGGAAGGAUCUGAUAGGUGGGUGGUGAAGCAUCGUCUAAAUAUGAACAAUGUAUUUGGGAGGGACAUAAUGCUCCAUACUAACAAUGAAGGAUUAUGGUACUUUGAUUAUGAAAUCCUGGCAUUUGACUUGGAGAGAGAGCUAGUUUACCUUGCUGACACAGUUGCUGAUAAUAAGAUCAUCUCAUAUAGCAUCAGUACUGGAAAGGGCUCGCAGAUUCUAAACAUUCCAAGGUUUGUUGACCUCUAUCGAAGUCUACUCUACGUGCCAUACUAUGGCAAGUUUCCAGCUUCUGUGCUUCAGGGAGCUCAAGACAAAUGUUAG
rnacentral:rRNA from 1 species